UGGGAGAUAGCCAAGCGGUAAGGCCCUCGUUCGUUAAACGAGUGAUGCGCAGGUUCGAAUCCUGCUCUCCCAG
rnacentral:tRNA from 1 species